rnacentral:rRNA from 1 species
CAACUUUCAGCAACGGAUCUCUUGGCUCUCGCAUCGAUGAAGAACGCAGCGAAAUGCGAUAAGUAAUGUGAAUUGCAGAAUUCAGUGAAUCAUCGAAUCUUUGAACGCACCUUGCGCUCCUUGGUAUUCCGAGGAGCAUGCCUGUUUGAGU